UUUAAGUGAGUAUUACUCUUUGUUCCUUUCAAAAAACGUCACGCCUCCUCCUCCUCCUCCUCUCUUAUCUCUUCUCUCCCCUUUCCCUCACUGCUGAGCCACGAAACCACCAACCAGCAGCCAAGCCGCGGCGGCAACCGGUCUCCCACAACACCACCGGUCUUCCCUCUCUCUUCCCCGUGACGUAGCUGCUUCUUCCCCUUUAAACAGCCACGGCAGCAGCAGCCUAGCUAGGGUGCUGCAUUUGCUGCGCGUGCCGCCAGCCACGGUGGCCAGUUUGGGGUCCUCUCUCCAACCGGUUCGGUCCCGUGCCCCCACUACCGCAACCUUAACUUACCUCUUCCCGUUUUUGCUAGUUUUAACUUUGUUUCCAUUUCAUAAGAGGAAAGUAGAACCUUAGUUGGGUGAAUUUUGUAACUUUUGGUCGUGCAGUGACGCUUACAGGUACGUACACGCAGUAACUAACCCUUAUAUGCAAUUUGCUUUAAGACAUUAUUGUUUAUUGUGAUAAUAUGCAUUGUAUUGAAACUAUGAGGUACUAGUGAGUGCACUUUAUAUGAAGAACUAUCGAUUAUGAAAUCCUUGCGCUUAGAAUAAUUUAGAGAAUAAGAGUGUUAGUAGAAGGCGGGUACCAACCCCUUAUUUAUGUAAGAGUUGGAUAAUGCCUUACUUGGAGUUAGAAUGACUCCUUUAUAGGUGAAUUUCAUAUUUUGUUUGAGUUGCUCAGUGGGUUUCGGCGUUCUGCUAUCCCAGGGCACUCAUUAAUAGUCGAAGGUGGGAGCUACUCCCAUUUGAUAAAGUAUUGGAUUAUGAUUAGCUGACGUGACUAACUGGAUUAUGUCCGGUUGAUUUAAUGGUCCCCUAGGUGAGGUCCAAUAGGAUCACCGUAAGGGGGGUAUGAGCAUGCUUUUGUCACUGGGCGCCGGAUGGCCGAUACCACCCCUUGACCGAGGUGUUACCAUGCAGGCCUUGCAAACCCCAAUAUGGUGGCCUCUUCACUGGUUUAGUACCCCAGUGUGUUAGUUUUUCCCGAAGGUAGGACCCGAGAGGGUCAGCUGGAGGGGGCAUGAGCUCAUACUUUGCCAUGGGUGCCGGAUGACCGAUAACGCCCUUGGUUGCGUCACUAUGCCAGGAAGUAGAGAAAAGAUCCACUGAUAGAAAGUUAUUCAGUGAUAGAAAGUUUAUUCAUUGAUCGAGAGUUAUUUAAUGAUAGAAGAUUCAUUCUUUGAUAGAAAGCUUACACAUUGAUAGAACGUUUACUCAUUGAUAGAAAAUUUACUCAUUGAUAGAAUAGUUUAUGCUAGUGAGAAGUGUGCCUAAGUUAAGUGACCUCAAGGGUAUUACACACUAUGAUCACACUUACCUUAAGAUAGACAAGCUCUAUAAGGUCAUGUGUUAGGUAUUCUGUUAAUGCCUUGGUUGAGUUGAUACUACGCGUGUUUUGCAAGAGUUUAUGUUUUGGGAAGAGGAGUGUGAAGACCUGCAUUCUACUCCAAGAACACAUGGUUCGGGUUGGAAAGAACGUAAUGAGAUUAAGAAGUAAAAGUGGCCGAUAAACGGUUACUAUCUGUGCUUGUGUCUUAUGAAAUCAUCUUAUGUUGUUGUAUAAUAUAAUGUUAUCUAUUAGUUGGCCUUAUUAUAUUUGAUGCUAGUUACUGACGUGUACGUGUUUGUGUUUAUGUUUGAUUGUUUGAUGACUUUGUAUGAUUGUCCUGCUAUGACACAUUGGCCUUUGGUCUGAUGUCGAGAAGCAGGAGGAUCAUAGACAGGCGUGGCAAGUAUUGGAGCUUCUUUUGCAUUACAUUGCAUUGGGGGAGAGUGAUGAGGGCGAAGCAUAACCUGUGUCAUACCGCUAUCUUUUGACUUUGUAGUUCUUAUUUAUCUUUAGUAAACUUUGGUUGUAUACGUUUUGUCAUGAGGCCUUGUGUCAUCCUUUGUAUAUUUUUAUUUCCGCUGCGUAGUUUAUAACUUCGUAUGGUUUUAAAUAAGUCAUCUUAAAACGCAAGCAUCGACACUGGAACCACGAUCCAUGCUUGGCAUGUUGAUUUGAGAAGCCGGCGACGAAUCAUUCCGCCGUGGUGUGAGAUUUUAAAGGCAAUGAUGCCUUAGAUUAGUUUAAUCUUUUUAUUGUGCUAAUUGCUUUACCAUAUGUUCAAUUUUUAGAAGAGAUGCU